rnacentral:hammerhead_ribozyme from 1 species
AUCCAUCUGAUGAGCCACAAAUAGGACGAAACGCGCGUCGUGGAU